UACGGAGGGUGCUAGCGUUGUUCGGAAUCACUGGGCGUAAAGCGCGUGUAGGCGGCCCAUCAAGUCUGAUGUGAAAGCCCGGGGCUCACCCCCGGAAGUGCAUUGGAAACUGUUGGGCUCGAGUCCCGGAGAGGAGGGUGGAAUUCCUGGUGUAGCGGUGAAAUGCGUAGAUAUCAGGAGGAACACCGGUGGCGAAGGCGGCCCUCGGGACGGUGACUGACGCUGGGACGCGAAAGCGUGGGGAGCAAACAGG
rnacentral:rRNA from 1 species